rnacentral:piRNA from 1 species
AGUGGACCUGCUCAGCAAUAGUUCUUU